AUUGAACGCUGGCGGCAGGCCUAACACAUGCAAGUCGAGCGAGCGGCGGACGGGUGAGUAAUGUAUGGGGAUCUGCCCGAUAGAGGGGGAUAACUACUGGAAACGGUGGCUAAUACCGCAUACUAUCGGAUGAACCCACAUGGGAUUAGCUAGUGGGUGGGGUAAAGGCUCACCUGGGCGAGGAUCUAUAGCUGGUCUGAGAGGAGGAUUAGCCACACAGGAACGGUGACACGGACCAGCCUCCUAGGGGGGGCAGCAGUGGGGAAGUGUGCACAAAGGGCGCAAGCCGGAUGCAGCCAUGCCGCGUGUAUGAAGAAGGCCUUAGGGUUGUAAAGUACUUUCAGCGGGGAGGCGUUACCCGCAGAAGAAGCACCGGCUAACUCCGUGCCAGCAGCCGCGGUAAUAC
rnacentral:rRNA from 1 species